UAUUACCUCACUCAUUUACGCCAGUAAUUUAACUUGUAACAAGAAAAUAAAUAUAAAUCAACUUUCAACCAAACUUUUAUCUAAUUACCUCACUUGAGGCCAGCCACUUAAAAUCAGCCAUGUAGAAAUUUAAAUUUUUUUUAUCAAGGGAGUACUAUUAUUAUUUUGCACCCAGCUCCCUUUUCAUGGCUAUAUAAAGAGGCCAAAUACUCCAUUUAUAUAUUCACCAAGCUCAACAAAAAUAAAGGAGAAGUGAAGCAAAGAGAGUAUAAAAGUGAAAAGAGAUAGAGAUGAUGAUGAAGAAGAGUGUGAGUGUGAUUUUGGUUGUCAUGUUUGCCAUUGUUGUGCAGUUAUCUGCAACUGAAACAGUCUCGGCUGCUCGGCAACUUGAUCCCCUUUCACGUGCACAAAUUCUUCUUGCUCAAGAGUUUGUUAGCGAAGCUCAGCGUCCACUCACUUGUGGUAACGCAGGGCUUUUUGCAGUCCCUUCAACCCUUGUUGCACAAAUUAUAAUUGCUAUGGAGUAUGUGUACCCAAAUGCUUUCCAAACUGCUACAACUAAACUAAUAUGGAGUCUUCAUAAUUAUAUACUCCAACCAUAAUUAUAAAUAAAGGUUGGAGCAUUUCGCUUUUCCUUCAUCUAGUUGUUGUUUUGAAUUAACAUGGAAAUGUCAUUUUGGAUGAUAUAUUCCUUGUUAUUGUUGUUGUUGUUGUUGUUGUUGUAUGGUUCCAACUUUCAGUGCAUGUACUGUUAAUCUUCAAUCAAAUAAAUGGUUUGUGUUAUGAUUUACGAAAAGUGUUGUAUCUUGCUAAUACAUAGAUUGCCGGGACUCCUUCCUGUAUUUGAAAGAAAUUAGAGGAAGCAUUAAACAUGGGAGUAAAUAUGAAUUUUUCUGAAAGAAUUUACAGGUUGAUAUGAUGCAUACUUCAUAUAGGGGAGCUAGUGAGGAAUCAUAAUUAGUCAAGGAGUUGUUAUUUUAUUUUAUUUGUAUUGUUAUAUAGUUAUUGUACAAUAAAGUUUAUGUUAAUAAAGAGAAGUUAUUUAAGUUA